rnacentral:rRNA from 1 species
UACAGAGGGUGCGAGCGUUAAUCGGAAUUACUGGGCGUAAAGCGCGCGUAGGCGGCUUUGCAAGUCGGGUGUGAAAUCCCCAGGCUUAACCUGGGAACUGCAUUCGAGACUGCAUUGCUAGAGUAUGGGAGAGUGAAGUGGAAUUUCCGGUGUAGCGGUGAAAUGCGUAGAUAUCGGAAGGAACAUCAGUGGCGAAAGCGACUUCCUGGACCAAUACUGACGCUCAUGUGCGAAAGCGUGGGGAGCAAACAGG